rnacentral:rRNA from 1 species
AUGUGCGACCUUUUUUACAAGAAGUAUGGGAAAGAUUUCGUUGCUGCUGCAGUUGACAUAUGCCCAAAUGUUUGUGUAUUUCAUUUAUUUUUCUGCAAAGCCAUUUGUUGUCACUACUGCAUGUAUUUUAUGGUCACUAUUGAAAUCAACGAUGUCCUUCUGAAGGUAAUUGAGAAGUUGUCAGUCAAUAAGCCGUGUAGGCAAUUUAAGUUGGAAGUUCUUAAGGAUAUAGCAAAGGAGCAUCAGAUAGAUUGGGAUAGGAGCGAGGCUGAGCAGGAACUUCUUAAACCUGCUGAAGAGCUGAUUUAUGUAAUACUAAAACUGCAAUGCCACAUACUUUUGUUUUACAUUGUGUAUAGUCUUUGA